GGCACAGGCCUGUGGUCCCAGCUUCUCGGGAGCCUGAGGUGGGAGGAUCCCUUGAGCCUGGGAGGUGCAGGCUGCAGUGAGCUAUGGUCAGGCUACUGCACUCCAGCCUGGGCAACAGUGCGACACUGUGUCAUUAAAGCGACUUGAGGAAGAGCAAAGGAUCUAUUCAGGGCCAUCAAUGUCUAUCUUAAAAAACGAUUGUGAGGAUGGAGUCUGAGAAUUUAAAUUAAAAAUGAGCAAAGAAGUGGACAAGCACUCAAUAAACAAACAGAAACUUUAUGUAUGUACUCUAAGAGAGGGGCAGGGAGUCCAUUUGAGCCCAGGCAAGUGGGCUCAAAUAUUUUCAAUAUUCUAGAAUGUUUGUUUGCUUGAAUAAAAAUGAGAAGGGGCAAUUAAUUCUAGGAUGACGGUAAUAGUCUGAGUGUAAUUUUUAAGUGUAAUUUUUUAAUCUCUUCAGGUACUCCAUACAAACAGGUAGAGCAAAAUGGACAACAUCUGUAAUAAAACUAGGUAAUAUGUUUUAUUCACAAGUCUCAAGAUAAAUGCCACUGGGGACAAAUCCCCUAUAGCUAGGUCCAUGUGGCACCAGCAACACAAUAUUUUAUGGAUCUGAGAACAGAAGACUCAAAGCACUUCUAGAUCAAGACAAUUUGCCUAUAAAGAUUGUUUGGAGGAGCAAGGAUGUGGGGUUCUAAGAGACAUUCAAUAUGCAAUAAAGCCUGGCACACAGCUAGCAUACACUUCCCAGCUUCCUUUGAUGUCUGUUGUAGCCACAUGACUGAGCUUAGCCAAUGGAGUACGGGUGUAAGUGAUGUGAACCACACCAGCCUGGCCCCUAAAAACCUUACUCAGCAGUUCUGCUUAUAGAAGAUAGGAUGCCCACAUUUGCUGAUUUUGCCAUGCUUUAAGAAGUGACUCUGGAAGAUUCUUAAACCCUACAGUAAACAAGUCUCAGGAGCUGCUGAAAUGCACAGAGUAUCAGGAGACCACUGGAAAAAAAAGAAAUGUUUAAUAGGUGUGCUGUGCACCCACUGUACUUGAUUUACCUUAUUCUCCUGAAUUCACCUGGAAGUGAUGAUUCCCCUGGAAGUCAUCCAAUAUUAAAUGCACUGUUUCCCACCUUCACAUUAACACAGAAAAGUCACUCACUGAAAUUUCCAGCAUCCUCA
rnacentral:lncRNA from 13 species